GUUGAACGGCCACAUUGGGACUGAGACACGGCCCAGACUCCUACGGGAGGCAGCAGUGGGGAAUAUUGCACAAUGGGGGAAACCCUGAUGCAGCGACGCCGCGUGGAGGAAGAAGGUCUUCGGAUUGUAAACUCCUGUUGUUGAGGAAGAUAAUGACGGUACUCAACAAGGAAGUGACGGCUAACUACGUGCCAGCAGCCGCGGUAAAACGUAGGUCACAAGCGUUGUCCGGAAUUACUGGGUGUAAAGGGAGCGCAGGCGGGAGAACAAGUUGGAAGUGAAAUCCAUGGGCUCAACCCAUGAACUGCUUUCAAAACUGUUUUUCUUGAGUAGUACAGAGGUAGGCGGAAUUCCCGGUGUAGCGGUGGAAUGCGUAGAUAUCGGGAGGAACACCAGUGGCGAAGGCGGCCUACUGGGCACCAACUGACGCUGAGGCUCGAAAGUGUGGGUAGCAAACAGGAUUAGAUACCCUGGUAGUCCACACCGUAAACGAUGAUUACUAGGUGUUGGAGGAUUGACCCCUUCAGUGCCGCAGUUAACACAAUAAGUAAUCCACCUGGGGAGUACGACCGCAAGGUUGAAACUCAAAGGAAUUGACGGGGGCCCGCACAAGCAGUGGAGUAUGUGGUUUAAUUCGACGCAACGCGAAGAACCUUACCAAGUCUUGACAUCCCUUGACGAUGCUGGAAACAGCAUUUCUCUUCGGAGCAAGGAGACAGGUGGUGCAUGGUUGUCGUCAGCUCGUGUCGUGAGAUGUUGGGUUAAGUCCCGCAACGAGCGCAACCCUUAUGGUCAGUUACUACGCAAGAGGACUCUGGCCAGACUGCCGUUGACAAAACGGAGGAAGGUGGGGAUGACGUCAAAUCAUCAUGCCCUUUAUGACUUGGGCUACACACGUACUACAAUGGCGUUAAACAAAGAGAAGCAAGACCGCGAGGUGGAGCAAAACUCAGAAACAACGUCCCAGUUCGGACUGCAGGCUGCAACUCGCCUGCACGAAGUCGGAAUUGCUAGUAAUCGUGGAUCAGCAUGCCACGGUGAAUACGUUCCCGGGCCUUGUACACACCGCCCGUCACACCAUGAGAGCCGGGGGGACCCGAAGUCGGUAGUCUAACCGCAAGGAGGACGCCGCCGAAGGUAAAACUGGUGAUUGGGGUGAAGUCGUAACAAGGUAGCCGUACUAGUACGUCGGGCC
rnacentral:rRNA from 1 species